rnacentral:misc_RNA from 1 species
UUCCAACUUCCACUGCCCAGCUUGAACCAACCUCAUGGGAGGAAGAUCCACAGAUACCCGAUUCUUUGUCAGCCAGCUUUGAUGCAGAGCACUUACUUAGCUUGUCAGCAUGCUUGGUUACACUUUGCAUGAAGAGCAUGUGUUUGAUUGUUCGUUCUAGAAGUGAGUCUAUACUGCACUUCGAACCAUUUGGAACAAGAUCACGGAGCUCCUUGAUGCGAUCUUGGAUCAAUUGUCUAUCCCUGGGUCUAGGUCGGCAACUUUCACCAGGUCUAGCUCUCUUUUUAUGCAUUUUAACGGGUUCAAGUGGCCUCUCAACAUGUCCACUACCUCUGCUACAACUGGUUGAUG